AUGGGUGUUCCUCCUGCCAGGAGCAGAAAGCCCCAGACAACUUAGCUCCUAGGCUCAUUGAGACACGCAAACCCUCCACCAUGAUAAUGUGACGGCUCCAGGAGGGGAGUUUCGCACACUGUUAGUUUAAACUGGUCAUAGAAGUGCCGCAUGACCAGUGAGGUAUGGAGUCUGACCAAACUCCACGCACACCCCGUCCCGCUCGGCUGGCCAAUCCCGUGUUGUGUAGGCGGGUACUUAACGGUCUUUGCACUGUGACUGCACAAAUUGUUUACAGCUCUAUUAAUCAAAGCACCAGAAUGACUUUUGCCACCAGCAUUUUUCAGGAACAAACCGAGUGUGCCAGGAGGAGCCCGCAUAUCCCGGCUUCCAGCUUUACACAGGUAUUAAAGGUAACUCGACCAGCUGGUUGUGAUUAUCACGGACGAGUACUGCGGUCAGUGUGUAUCUGAUUUACUAGCCAACAAUGUUUUGUGAUAAUUCUUUGAGUAAAUGGUUCGCCUUUCACUUCUACUGUUCACACUUUGUUCUGUUUUGACUUACUUUAACUUACAUGAUGACAUGAGAUACUGACGUGCUCACUAGAUUUUUUUUCCCCUUCUCAGGCUGUCAGAGGAGGAAUCUGGGGCUGAUUUUUCUGUUAUUGAUGUUCAUUAUUUAUUCAUUGUAUUUUUGUCUUGCUUUUGCUGUAGAUCUGUGAAUUAAGUGUCUUAUCCUGAAUUUUGUGUCUUCAUAACAAACACGAAACUAGGCUCUUUCACUGCCAGAGAGGUAACGUACCAUGUCCCAAGACCCAGCUUGUAGCCGAGAAUUGGACAGCCAAGGUCCCCCGCCUUCAGCUGCCACCCAGCUCACGCUGCUCCCGGCUUCCUAGGUCCCUCCCACAGGUGGUGAGUUUACAUGCGUUGAUAUUGGGAAGGGGGACCCACAUCGUCUCUUUGGGCUGUGCGCCAUGUUUGCAGACCUGGCCAACAGGUGCUCGCCUUCAAGCCCCACCUCCAGGCAUGGCUCCAGAGGGGGGCCCUGGUGAUCUGCUUCCAGGCAAGGGAAAUGCUGUCUAAAAUUGUUUCUUUUCAUAGGGGGUCUUUGAGCCAUGCUUUGUCUGGUCCCUCACCUAGGACCUGUUUGCCCUGGGUGACCCUAUCAGAGACAUAAAGCCCCGACAAUUUACCUCCUAGGAUCAUUGGGACACACAAACCCCUCCAACACAAAAUGCUGACCGCGCAAGGAGAAGAUAAAGGCAACCAACAGAUGUGCACUAAUUGGUGGCGGUAUUGACUCAAACAACUUAAGUGGGACACAGCAGGAUGGUGCACAUGGGUCAUUCAACAGCCAGCUGCAUCUCCGUCUGAGAGUCAUAAUGACCUGAAUGAGAGUGAAGACAAACUACAAACUACCUCUGACUUUUCAGCUCAAAUUUUUAGGGACCACAGACAGCAUUAUAGUCCAAAUACAAGACAAAAAUCAAUAGCCUAUGUUCUGUUCGUCUCAACUCUGUUCUCUAACACUGGUUUUGCUGUUAAUGAGUGGUUAAUUAAAUAAUCAUUUGUGUCUCGGUCUUUUUCAAAUUUUGCACAAUAAAAUUCACUUCCCACCACAACUUUAUAACAUACAGUAGAUAUCAUGUAAAUAUACUGUUCCAUAAAGUUUCACUCACCUCU